AGUUAAUGAACUUGUAAAAGUAUAUGUUUUGAAAACAUAAUAAAGAGGUUAAAUCCUCUAUUAACUU
rnacentral:tRNA from 2 species